rnacentral:rRNA from 1 species
CAAUAGCGUAUAUUAAAGUUGUUGCAGUUAAAAAGCUCGUAGUUGGAUUUCGGGGUGGCCUGCCUGGUCCACCGCAAGGUGAGUACUGGUCAGCUGCCCUUCCUCUCGAAAGCCCCGACUGCUCUUCGUUGCAGUGGUCGGGUAGUUCGGGACGUUUACUUUGAAAAAAUUAGAGUGUUCAAGGCAGGCUGUCGCCUGAAUACAUUAGCAUGGAAUAAUGGAAGAGGACCUCGGUCCUAUUUUGUUGGUUUCUAGGGCCGAAGUAAUGAUUAAGAGGGACAGUUGGGGGCAUUCGUAUUUAAUUGUCAGAGGUGAAAUUCUUGGAUUUAUGAAAGACGAACUAGUGCGAAAGCAUUUGCCAAGGAUGUUUNCAUUAA